UACGUAGGGGGCAAGCGUUGUCCGGAUUUAUUGGGCGUAAAGAGCGUGUAGGCGGCCAGGUAGGUCUGGUGUGAAAACUCGAGGCUCAACCUCGAGAGGUCAUCGGAAACCAUCUGGCUAGAGUCCGGAAGAGGAGAGUGGAAUUCCCGGUGUAGCGGUGAAAUGCGCAGAUAUCGGGAAGAACACCUACUGCGGAAGGCAGCUCUCUGGGACGGUACUGACGCUGAGACGCGAAAGCGUGGGGAGCGAACAGG
rnacentral:rRNA from 1 species